CCCUAGAACGCGGGGAAGCGGGGCUGUUACCUCAGUGCGUUUCCCGCCGCCUCGCGCGCUGCGCGCAGCUGCUGUGUCGCAUUUUCACCUCAGUCUGUGGUAGUUCGUAACGGCCGAGCUCAGCACGCGCGCUGUUCCACCUGGGGGCUUGGUUUUAUUCCGCCCCUCUUCAGCUUUGCAGUUGAAGUAAAAAUAGCAUGAAAUACAUUCAGUAGCAAAGCAGUUGGAAUCCAGCAGAAGUGGAGAGCCCUGUAUUCCUGGAGGAUUAACCUUAAUUUUGAGAAAACAGUUUCAAUGUAUAAAUAUUACUCUUCCAAAUGCCACUGCUACGAACACUAAGUGGGAUGUACAGAUGGAAGGUGAAAGUCAUUUACUGCCUUUAUAUCAUUACCAAAAGUGGAUAGUUCAGCCAUUCAUUGCCUUCUGAAACUUCUUUUGAGAGGUACAAGAUUCUGCCUUCUCCAGCUGCUUCCUGAAGACUUCCUUCAGCUAGGAAUUGAAGCAGAGAAGUUACACAGUACAGUGAAAGAAGUUCUUGAAAUCAAAUUGUUCUCUCAACGCCUGUCGGUGUUUACAACACUUCUAUACCUUUUUCUUACCGAUUUCCACUUCUGGAGAACAGGAAAAGGUUCCCAAGCACCUGCAGUGGUGCACAGUGUCACCUCUCCUUGCAAGUGAAGAACAAAGCUUUUCUUUCAGUGCUGCUGACCUGAUGUGGGGAGUCCCCUUCAUCUACAGAAAGACUGAUAAAAUGGCGGAGAGCAAAGAACAGAACGGGCAAAAGUACAUGCUCAUCAGCUUUGUCAUGAUACUGCAGAAAACAGCAGGGGCAGAAGCAGAUAAAACUGUUAUUCCUGGGGAAGACAGAGCACCGUGAUGCAUUGCUUUUGGCCUUUACAUCACAACGUUCACUCCAUCACACAGUGCAGUAUCUGCUUGUACUUAUUCAUCUAGAUGCCUCUGCUUUUUAGAAUCACAUGAAUCAAGAUCAGUAGGGCCUAGCUGUCAGGGGUAUAACUAAGUAGAAAUACAACUUGCAUUGCUAUGAUCAAUUAUGUUUACAAUUCUGAGGUUAGACAGAGAUAGACAAAUAACUACUGAAAAUCAAAUUGAGAGUCUCUUGUAGGAAAAGAUUUUAAAUUACAAGAGGCACUACAGCUUUCACUAAGCAAGACUCCAAUCAGGAGGGGUGUUACAGCAUGGCCCUCUUGUCUUCUCCACCUUAAUAACAGUCGUUAAGGAAUUUAUCAGUAGUGCAUAAGACAGUCCAGAAAGAGGAGGGUUGCACAUGUAGUUCUCUGACACCAUCUGUGAAAAGAGCUGUGAAAGAGCUCUGAAAGCUACCCCUGUAUGCUCCAGUCUUCAGAGGAAACAAGCAGUUAUCAGUGGAUGCCCAAGAACACUUCUAAUUUUUGUUGCCAUGGAUCUACAGUAAAAAAAUAAAUCCAUGUAAGGUAGCAGGCACUCUGCCACGUAACUUCCCUUUAAAUCAGUCUUUCAAGGAGUACAUGACACCAUUCUCAAAUACAUGUUCAUUCUUUGGUACACCUGCAUUCACGUAGAGAUAUGGCUCUCUGACUGUGACUAGAAAUAAGAAUGUCAGGAAGACAUGGGUACAGAUUAUAAUGCUUUUCAUUUUGUAUUGAUGCUUUUACUUGUGUACAUAACCUGUUAUGGAGCAUAACCUGGCUCCUAAAACUGCCAUUGAUAAGCUGGAGCUUGGACCCAUCUCCAUGCCAAAUC